rnacentral:rRNA from 1 species
UACGGGGGGGGAGCAAGCGUUGUUCGGAUUUACUGGGCGUAAAGGGCGCGUAGGCGGCCAGCACAAGUCAGUUGUGAAAUCUCCGAGCUUAACUCGGAAAGGUCAACUGAUACUGUGCGGCUAGAGUGCGGAAGGGGCAACUGGAAUUCUUGGUGUAGCGGUGAAAUGCGUAGAUAUCAAGAGGAACACCUGCGGCGAAGGCGGGUUGCUGGGCCGACACUGACGCUGAGCGCGAAAGCGUGGGGAGCAACAGG